CUACUUCGACUACUGGGGAAAAGAACCAAAGUCACCGUUUCCUCAGCUGAAUCAUCUCCACCAACGUCAAUCUUCGCCAUGUCCCAGUGUACUCCUGAUUCUACUGGGUACGUCACCAUCGGCUGCAUGGCAAGAGGUUUCUCACCUGCGGACUCCGCUGACUUUUUAAAUGGACGGAUUAUAAUGCGAAGGAGUUGAGUGAUUUCGUGCAGUAUCCAGCAUUCGGCAGUGGUGGAGAAUAUACCAAAGUCAGCCAUAUGCGCGUGAGAAAAAAGCGAGUUGGAUCCUCAAAAAACCAUACAACUGCGAAGCUUCAAAUUCUAAAGGCAAAAAAGAAUAGUAAAGUUCCUCUUCUUCCACCACCAAUACGUGUCUAUAAGCCUAAUAUUACUCUGCUGAGUAGAGAGGACGGUGACAGGAUUGUGUUGGAGUGCCAGUUGAAUGAUUAUUUCCCAGACAAACUUUCUGUACAAUGGCUUGAUGGUGAAAAGUCUGUCAGAGGUCAAAUUGCUAAAAAGUUUCAGAACGCUGAUAAAGGCGAGACAAAGUACACUUACAUAAGUCAGCUAUCUAUCAGGGCCACAUAUGAAUACAAAAAAGUACACCUGUAAAGCCACCCACAACUCUGAAGUGUUCAUGACAGAAUAUGACAUGUGCACGGCCAAGCCUUUGUUCAAACCUUCAGUCCAAAUAAAGAAAUUUCAUCUCAGAGACAUUA